UACGUAGGGCGCAAGCGUUGUCCGGAAUUAUUGGGCGUAAAAGAGCUCGUAGGCGGUCUGUCGCGUCGGCUGUGAAAACCCGAGGCUCAACCUCGGGCCUGCAGUCGAUACGGGCAGACUAGAGUGCUGUAGGGGGAGACUGGAAUUCCUGGUGUAGCGGUGAAAUGCGCAGAUAUCAGGAGGAACACCGGUGGCGAAGGCGGGUCUCUGGGCAGUAACUGACGCUGAGGAGCGAAAGCGUGGGGAGCAAACAGG
rnacentral:rRNA from 1 species